rnacentral:ncRNA from 2 species
CUCUUAUCCAGAGUGGUGGAGGGACUGGCCCGAUGAAACCCGGCAACCGCCUGAAAGGUAUGGUGCCAAAUCCUGCAGGAGGAUCCUGGCAGAUGAGAG